rnacentral:rRNA from 1 species
UACGUAGGGGGCUAGCGUUGUCCGGAUUUAUUGGGCGUAAAGAGCGUGUAGGCGGCCAGGUAGGUCCGUUGUGAAAACUCGAGGCUCAACCUCGAGACGUCGGCGGAAACCCUCUGGCUAGAGUCCGGAAGAGGAGAGUGGAAUUCCUGGUGUAGCGGUGAAAUGCGCAGAUAUCAGGAAGAACACCCGUGGCGAAGGCGGCUCUCUGGGACGGUACUGACGCUGAGACGCGAAAGCGUGGGGAGCAAACGGG